UACGGAUGGGGCGAGCGUUGUUCGGAAUUACUGGGCGUAAAGGGCGCGUAGGCGGCCCGCUAAGUCAGACGUGAAAUCCCUCGGCUCAACCGGGGAACUGCGUCUGAUACUGGCAGGCUUGAAUCCGGGAGAGGGAUGUGGAAUUCCAGGUGUAGCGGUGAAAUGCGUAGAUAUCUGGAGGAACACCGGUGGCGAAGGCGGCAUCCUGGACCGGUAUUGACGCUGAGGCGCGAAAGCCAGGGGAGCAAACGGG
rnacentral:rRNA from 1 species